rnacentral:lncRNA from 1 species
AUCAAUAAUGAGCGAGAAAUAUUGAAAUAUGUAACUAUAAUUACUGAAUAGUCUAUUUCUCCUUUCAAUUUUGUCAACUUUUGCUUCACUUAUUUUGGGGCUCUCUUUUUAGGUCCUGUCUCCAUGUAUCAAGUGGCCCUAUAUAAGCAGUCACAUGGAGAGAACUGCAGCUUCCUGCCAACAGCCAUGUAAGUGAAUAUCGUGUUGGCUGCAGAUCCUCUAUCCCCAUUCAAGCCUUCGGAUGAUGACAGACACAGCUGACAUCUUAAUUAUAACCUCAUGAAAGACUCUGAGCCAAAACCACCCUGCUAGUCUACUCCUGAAUUCUUGACUUAAAGAAACUACGUGAGACAAUAAAUGUUUAUUGUUGUUUUAAAC